rnacentral:rRNA from 1 species
AUACGGAGGGUGCAAGCGUUAUCCGGAAUCAUUGGGUUUAAAGGGUCCGCAGGCGGAUUAAUAAAUCAGUGGUGAAAUCCUCUCGCUCAACGAGAGAACUGCCAUUGAAACUGUUAGUCUUGAAUUCGGUCGAAGUAGGCGGAAUGUGUCAUGUAGCGGUGAAAUGCAUAGAUAUGACACAGAACACCGAUAGCGAAGGCAGCUUACUAGACCUGGAUUGACGCUCAUGGACGAAAGCGUGGGGAGCGAACAGGAUUAGAAACCCUAGUAGUCC